GCCUGGGUGGCUCAGUCGGUUAAGCGUCCGACUUCAGCUCAGGUCAUGAUCUCGCGGUCCGUGAGUUCGAGCCCCGCUUCGGGCU
rnacentral:tRNA from 1 species